GGGGGUGGAAAGGUAACUGGUGUGCCUCCUGGUCUUCAAAACCAGUGUUGGGCGCGAGAGCGUCCUGGGUGAGUUCGAUUCUCACACGCCCUCGCCA
rnacentral:tRNA from 1 species